GACGAACCGUGCAACCGUUGUUCGGAAUCACUGGGCUUAAAGGGCGCGUAGGCGGUCGACCAAGUCCGGGGUGAAAUCUUUCGGCUUAACCGGAAAAGUGCCUUGGAUACUGGCCGGCUGGAGGGAGGUAGGGGCAGGUGGAACUUCCAGUGGAGCGGUGAAAUGCGUUGAUAUUGGAAGGAACGCCGGUGGCGAAAGCGACCUGCUGGACCUCUUCUGACGCUGAGGCGCGAAAGCUAGGGGAGCAAACGGG
rnacentral:rRNA from 1 species